GACGAACCGGACAAACGUUAUUCGGAAUUACUGGGCUUAAAGAGUUCGUAGGCGGCAUGAAAAGCAGGGUGUGAAAGCCCUCGGCUCAACCGAGGAAUUGCGCUCUGAACUGUCGUGCUUGAGGAACCUAGAGGUGAGCAGAACAGAUGGUGGAGCGGUGAAAUGCGUUGAUAUCAUCUGGAAUACCGGAGGCGAAGGCGGCUCACUGGGGGUUUUCUGACGCUGAGGAGCGAAAGCGUGGGGAGCGAACAGG
rnacentral:rRNA from 1 species